UUUCAUGAUGAUCAAACCAUUCAAAUCCUUUUAAUUUCUGGUACCUCUUAUGCCAGAAGAGAAGCCCAGCAGGGUUCUCUUCGAUGAUCUAAAUGGACUUCUGAUU
rnacentral:snoRNA from 1 species